GACGAACCGAGCGAACGUUGUUCGGAAUCACUGGGCUUAAAGGGCGCGUAGGCGGGCUGUCAAGUUUGGGGUGAAAUCUCACAGCUCAACCGUGGAACUGCCUCAAAUACUGACGGUCUCGAGGGAGAUAGGGGCGAGCGGAACUAAUGGUGGAGCGGUGAAAUGCGUUGAUAUCAUUAGGAACUCCGGUGGCGAAGGCGGCUCGCUGGAUCUCUUCUGACGCUGAGGCGCGAAAGCUAGGGGAGCAAACGGG
rnacentral:rRNA from 1 species